UACGUAGGGUGCGAGCGUUGUCCGGAAUUACUGGGCGUAAAGAGCUCGUAGGUGGUUUGUCGCGUUGUUCGUGAAAACUCACAGCUUAACUGUGGGCGUGCGGGCGAUACGGGCAGACUGGAGUACUGCAGGGGAGACUGGAAUUCCUGGUGUAGCGGUGGAAUGCGCAGAUAUCAGGAGGAACACCGGUGGCGAAGGCGGGUCUCUGGGCCGACACUGACGCUGAUGCGCGAAAGCCAGGGGAGCGAACGGG
rnacentral:rRNA from 1 species